rnacentral:misc_RNA from 1 species
CAGAGCGUGACUGCUCCCUUAACCCACUGUGAACAUACCUGCGUUGCCUCGGCGGUGCGAUGGCCACGCCCGCCGGCGGCCCAACCAACCUCUCUAUAGCUGUUGGCAUCUCUCUGAAACAAAAAAACAACCAGUUA